rnacentral:tRNA from 1 species
GUCGGGAUAGCUCAGUUGGUAGAGCAUAGGACUGAAAAUCCUCGUGUCACCAG